UGGGGAAUAUUGGACAAUGGAGGCAACUCUGAUCCAGCAAUUCUGUGUGUGUGAAGAAGGUGUUAGGACUGUAAAACACUUUUAGAAGGGAAGAAAGAAAUGACGGUACCUACAGAAGAAGCGACGGCUAAAUACGUGCCAGCAGCCGCGGUAAUACGUAUGUCGCGAGCGUUAUCCGGAAUUAUUGGGCUUAAAGGGCAUCUAGGCGGUUAAACAAGUUGAAGGUGAAAACCUGUGGCUCAACCAUAGGCUUGCCUACAAAACUGUAUAACUAGAGUACUGGAAAGGUGGGUGGAACUACACGAGUAGAGGUGAAAUUCGUAGAUAUGUGUAGGAAUGCCGAUGAUGAAGAUAACUCACUGGACAGCAACUGACGCUGAAGUGCGAAAGCUAGGGGAGCAAACAGG
rnacentral:rRNA from 1 species